GCGGAGGUAGCCAAGCACGGUCAACGGCGCGAGAAUGAGGGUCUCGUCUCGCAGGAGUCCGCCGGUUCGAAUCCGGCCCUCCGCA
rnacentral:tRNA from 2 species